UGUGGUAAAAUCUAUUACAUUAAUUAAUGUAAUUUAUACAUUGUAAAAUCAAGAUUAAGUUGGAACUAUAAUAUCUUAAGUAAAAAUUACACUAUUUAUUCAUGUAAUAACAUAACUGAGAAGAAAGAGUAAAUUGUAUUAUAUAUUUACAAGUACUAUUUAAUGUUUUAUGGUCACAGCACAUUCACCUAAAAAUACUAAGUAAAUGUUAAUCUGAAAAGCUAAGUGCGUUUGAAUCCGCGCGCUUUUUUUUUUUUUUUUUUUUUAAACAAGAUCCUUCUGGCAGUGGCAGAGACGGUUGGUUUGGUUUGGGCGGUCACUUUUGGCUGACUUAUCUUCGUACCAAAGCAGACGUGAAACUGUCAUCCGCAGCCUUAUCCUGUACCUCAGUGAGAAAGAAGAAGAGCUUUUUGAAGAUUGCCUGGAGGACACUUGUAGUGAUGCCGCUGAACACACCCUUAAGAUACUGGUCAUCCAUGGUGCUGAUCAAGAGGAUCCAGUCGAUGUGUCCAUCAUGCGGCAGUACUGCUAAAGCUUGCACACUGCUGAUGGGGCUUAUCUAUGCCCUCAACCUGGCAUACACCCCAACACUGCUACACCUUUGAGGUGUUCCAGAAACAUUUCCUGGACCUGAAUGCUGUUAAGAUGUCCCCAAAAGUGCAAUCUUUAUAGUUGAAGUUACUCUGUUAAAUGCUAUCAACAUGGUACAUGCUGUACAAUCGAAGCUGUUGGUAGACUCCAAGUUACAUCUCCAGUUCAAAUAUUUUUUACGAAUCAAUUCGAUGUAACUGGAUC